ACUCCUACGGGAGGCAGCAGUGGGGAAUUUUGGACAAUGGGCGAAAGCCUGAUCCAGCAAUGCCGCGUGAGUGAAGAAGGCCUUCGGGUUGUAAAGCUCUUUUGUCAGGGAAGAAACGGUGCGGGCUAAUAUCCUGCACUAAUGACGGUACCUGAAGAAUAAGCACCGGCUAACUACGUGCCAGCAGCCGCGGUAAUACGUAGGGUGCAAGCGUUAAUCGGAAUUACUGGGCGUAAAGCGUGCGCAGGCGGUUUUGUAAGUCUGAUGUGAAAUCCCCGGGCUCAACCUGGGAAUUGCAUUGGAGACUGCAAGGCUAGAAUCUGGCAGAGGGGGGUCGAAUUCCACGUGUAGCAGUGAAAUGCGCAGAGAUGUGGAGGAACACCGAUGGCGAAGGCAGCCCCCUGGGUCAAGAUUGACGCUCAUGCACGAAAGCGUGGGGAGCAAACAGGAUUAGAUACCCUGGUAGUCCACGCCCUAAACGAUGUCUACUAGUUGUCGGGUUUU
rnacentral:rRNA from 1 species